UUUCUCAAAGAGGUGCAGCAUGAGUUACAUUUCCACUUCAGAAGAAGAAAACCUGAACUGAAGAGUAAGACACAUCUUUUCUGUGUGAUGAAAGAUAGAGAGGCAUCAUCAAGAAAGAGCUGAAGCAGAGCACACUACAAGAUGAAAGGACAGUGCUGUGUUGCCUACUGAUGAAUGCAUUUCCAGCAGGUGAUGCUUGCACCCCUGACAGGGAAAAAUGAAACAUGCCAAGAAACUACUUGAAGAAAUCCAUUUUGCGAAGACAGAGGCAUCGUCAUUGUGAAGCAAAUGCAAACAGAUGGCUUCAUGAAUAAAGAAUAAUUAAAAACAGAAUAUUGGGUUUCAGGCUAUGGAUAGUGUUUAGUUUUAACAGACUAAGGACAUAAGCCUCUCCCUUACCUCUGCUGUAAUAACAAAUAUGUCAAAUUAUAUUUAACAUGAAUGUUUCAGUUGGCCUGACUCCUCUGUGGAGUUAGUACAUUCCUUUAUUAAAUAAUGAAGAAAUAGCUACUAAGCAGAAUUUGGAGAAGAAAAGCUUUCAUGGAAUAAAAAAUACAUAGUCUACUGAAGUAAAAUUGAUUUUAACACUUUUCUUCUGUAUGUUUGUUUUAUUUGGUGAU